rnacentral:rRNA from 1 species
UACGUAGGGUCCGAGCGUUGUCCGGAAUUAUUGGGCGUAAAGAGCUCGUAGGCGGCUUGUUGCGUCGGUUGUGAAAGCCCGGGGCUUAACCCCGGGUCUGCAGUCGAUACGGGCAGGCUAGAGUGUGGUAGGGGAGAUCGGAAUUCCUGGUGUAGCGGUGAAAUGCGCAGAUAUCAGGAGGAACACCGGUGGCGAAGGCGGGUCUCUGGGCCGAUACUGACGCUGAGGAGCGAAAGCGUGGGGAGCGAACAGG